rnacentral:rRNA from 1 species
CCUACGGGUGGCAGCAGUGAGGAAUAUUGGUCAAUGGACGAGAGUCUGAACCAGCCAAGUAGCGUGAAGGAUGACUGCCCUAUGGGUUGUAAACUUCUUUUAUAUGGGAAUAAAAUGUUCCACGUGUGGGAUUUUGUAUGUACCAUAUGAAUAAGGAUCGGCUAACUCCGUGCCAGCAGCCGCGGUAAUACGGAGGAUCCGAGCGUUAUCCGGAUUUAUUGGGUUUAAAGGGAGCGUAGGUGGAUUGUUAAGUCAGUUGUGAAAGUUUGCGGCUCAACCGUAAAAUUGCAGUUGAAACUGGCAGUCUUGAGUACAGUAGAGGUGGGCGGAAUUCGUGGUGUAGCGGUGAAAUGCUUAGAUAUCACGAAGAACUCCGAUUGCGAAGGCAGUUCACUGGACUGCAACUGACACUGAGGCUCGAAGGUGUGGGUAUCAAACAGGAUUAGAUACCCGAGUAGUC